rnacentral:misc_RNA from 1 species
GAACUGCGAUAAGUAAUGUGAAUUGCAGAAUUCAGUGAAUCAUCGAGUCUUUGAACGCACAUUGCGCCCCCUGGCAUUCCGGGGAGCAUGCCUGUCCGAGCGUCAUUGCUGCCCUUCAAGCCCGGCUUGUGUGUUGGGUCGUCGUCCCCUCCGGGGGACGGGCCCGAAAGGCAGCGGCGGCACCGCGUCCGGUCCUCGAGCGUAUGGGGCUUUGUCACCCGCUCGAUAAGGACCGGCCGGGCGCCAGCCGGCGUCUCCAACCUUUUUUUCUCAGGUUGACCUCGGAUCAGGUAGGGAUACCCGCUGAACUUAAGC